UGUCCAGACUCCUACGGGAGGCAGCAGUGGGGAAUAUUGCACAAUGGGGGAAACCCUGAUGCAGCGACGCCGCGUGAGCGAGGAAGUACCUCGGUAUGUAAAGCUCUAUCAGCAGGGAAGAAAGUGACAGUACCUGACUAAGAAGCCCCGGCUAACUACGUGCCAGCAGCCGCGGUAAUACGUAGGGGGCAAGCGUUAUCCGGAUUCACUGGGCGUAAAGGGAGCGCAGGCGGCACGGCAAGUCUGGUGUGAAAGCCCGGGGCCCAACCCCGGGACUGCAUUGGAAACUGCCGGGCUGGAGUGCCGGAGGGGCAAGCGGAAUUCCUGGUGUAGCGGUGAAAUGCGCAGAUAUCAGGAAGAACACCGGUGGCGCAGGCGGCUUGCUGGACGGCAACUGACGCUGAGGCUCGAAAGCGUGGGGAGCAAACAGGAUUAGAUACCCGGGUAUA
rnacentral:rRNA from 1 species